AUAUUAAUGUUCAAACGGCUGAGCGGAAUGCCGAUGGUGAGCCGCUAAAAACACUGCGCAGCUAUCGACUGUUUAACUAUGCGUCUCCAGCGCUGGGCAUACAUUUGGGUCUACGGCAAGCAGGAAACGUUAAGGUUAAUGAUGUUAUUUACGUAGAAGAGAAGUGAAACUGGUCCUGGAAACUGAGGAUAUUCACUUUAUAUACAUACAUCUUUAUUCCAUAUAACAGAGAUUAUUGAUAGUACGAAACUUUGUAUAUGAUAGUAAUAAUAAUAAACAUUGCUGCAACAACUACCUUA